UUAAUGCCUGUUAUAAAGUGUAUUCUGUCUUCUUUAUUAAUCAGAUGAGCGCCAUAUUUUUACUCUCUGUAUUACAUCGGUCAUCCGAGGCUGUCUUUGAGUUUCAUUGUGUUUAACUAAACGAACACAGCUGCUAACUGGGGUGAUUAAACUCUUAUCUGUCACGUGACGUGCUAUAGACCUGGGAUCCGUUUUAUAAUCAUUUCAGGUUCAAAGAUGUAAGUUGUAUUUGUAGUAAAAUCAUGGUAACCAUGACACCUACAAUAGUAGGUAAAACCCAGUAAACAAGACAUUUACCAUGUGUUUUUUUUUUAUUUUUUUACCACAGUAACUGUAGUUUUACUAUGGUAUAGUAAUAGCACAAUAAUCACCAAAAUGACUGAGGUUGUACCACUGUAAUGGUAGUGUUUUAAUGUGCUUUUAUAUGACAUAUUUCACAGUAAUCACAUUUACUGUACCAUGCUUGUAAUACCUUUUUAAUGUAAAUAAAAAACAUUUUUCCCAUCUUGCAGUUCAAUUCAUAUUAGUUUAUAUCUUAAAUAUUUUGCCCACAGAUCACUAUUAACAUUCUGUAUAUAAUUCUGUUUAAUUUCUUUCCCCUUGUAUUUAUUUUUUAGCUGAAAAGACAUAAAGGAAUCAGUCACCCCAGUCGUGUUUGUGGAGAGGUAUUCCUUCAGAAAUGGAGAAGACAGAAAGCUGCAGAGGCAGGAUUGUUUGCAGAUAAUGCUGUUCUUCUUUUUCAGAAGUUUUUGGUGAGCCAACUCUCACAAACCUUCCUAAAAAAACUAAAAGAGCUAUUACUGAGUCUCGGCUAAUCUUGCCAUGGUCAGCUCUUCCCAGGUACAUUUGUUUACUCAUCAAAUGCUCUGGUCUGAAUCUUACUUUAAAUUAACUUAAUUAUAUGUUUAAUGAGCAAUAUUAAUUGCACACAUAGUAAGAUUAUCUUGUUUCACAGAAGAGAAGGAAGACC
ensembl:lncRNA